GCACUGUCCUUCAAAUCCGACUGACCGUUCGUGGUCCUGAGGGUGAAGACUAGUGCGAGACGACUUGAUCUUGUCAUAACUGGGGUUUCUUGGCUUCCUCCCAAGUCUCUCUUUUAAAGCAAGAAACAAGA